rnacentral:rRNA from 1 species
GUAGGGUCCAAGCGUUAAUCGGAAUUACUGGGCGUAAAGCGUGCGCAGGCGGUUGUGCAAGACCGAUGUGAAAUCCCCGGGCUUAACCUGGGAAUUGCAUUGGUGACUGCACGGCUAGAGUGUGUCAGAGGGGGGUAGAAUUCCACGUGUGGCAGUGAAAUGCGUAGAGAUGUGGAGGAAUACCGAUGGCGAAGGCAGCCCCCUGGGAUAACACUGACGCUCAUGCACGAAAGCGUGGGGGGAGCAAACAGGAUUAGAUACCCUGGUAGUCCACGCCCUAAACGAUGUCAACUAGUUGUUGGGGAUUCAUUUCCUUAGUAACGUAGCUAACGCGUGAAGUUGACCGCCUGGGGAGUACGGUCGCAAGAUUA